CUCGGGGUGCACCUCACUCCACGGCAAACCCACAGGUCUCCUCCACCGCUGUCAGCAGCUUCUCAUAGAGCUUCUCGUACGACUCGUAGGGAGGGAUGUCGAUCCGGUUAAAGCUGGAAAAGGACAGAGAGGACCAAGCCUGCUGGACACAGACCCUGGAUCCUCACGUGUGGAGACCCACCCCCUCAGAUGUCGUGGCCAGCGUGGGACCCCCAGCCCCGGUUCCCAGCCAGGAACCUCCCCCCACGUCACCAUGCGUCCCGGCAGCGUCUGGAACAGGUUCUGGUCAACCGGAGGGACACUCCAUGCGUGGUUCACCAGGGUGAGUGAGUGACUGGAUUUUAAACCACAAAGGAAAUAAGCCCACUGCAGGUACUGUUUAAGUGAAGACUGAGGGAGGAAACAUUUUUCAGCACGUCUGUCACAGGCAGAGUUCCAAGAAGGGAGAGACCAGUGACUUCAACUUACACCUGCAGUGCUCCCUCCGGACAGCGCCUGUGUGGGCACGCACACGGCCACGUGCGGCCACACAUACACACACACGGGGAGCAGCUCCGGGGUCAGUGCGCCUGACAGAGCCGCGUGCUGACCCUGCCGCGGGCGUGGUCCUUACCAGGUGUGGGCCUUGGGCAGGUUGUCCGUGUUGGCGUCGAUCAGGUGGAUGGUGAAGAGCCGGGGCCCUGCGGCGCCUGUAGAGCCUUACAAGACAACAGUCUAGUUAACACGCUUCAGAGGUGGGGCCCGGGACCUCUGCCACCACCUGGGGCCCCCUGCCAGAGGGGGUCGGGGUUCACAUAGCCCUGGGAGCUCUGCGUGGUCUCGGGAGUUGCACAUGAUGGCCACGGAGUGACUAACAUCAGACGUUCUAAAAAAUUCACGGGCGCAGGAAGAGCAAAGCCCGAGCUCUCCUCUCACAGCCGACCAUGAGCCUGCCCCAGGGCAGGUUUCUGAAAGCAGAAUCCUUCAGUCACCAGGAAUUUGUUUUUAAAAAAAAAAAAAAAAACCCAGGAAUGUCUAGCAGGCAGACCCCCUGUUGGCAGCGGAUGGCAGCGUCACAAGAAAAGCAGGUUUUAGAGUCACGAAACCCCCUGUGCAGAGGCCGACAGGAAGAAAGACACGAACGCCAGGACCAAAGCCCCAGGACAGGAGGGAACUUCUCUCAGUCCAGGAGGGCCUCAGGCUAAGGACGAGGCUACAGGGAACGUUCCAGUGAAACCUGCCUGCUCUCUCUAGGAACACGUGAAGUCCAUUUACUAAGUUUUAAGGUACUAAUAUUCUCAACCUUACUUCUGCGAGCUCUCAGGGUUAUCAAGUGACAAAACCCCCAGAUUUACCAUCAGAGCCGGGAAGAGGCCCUUCCCGGACAGAGGCACCGACCACAAGCCCUGCGGCCCCUCCUGAACUCAACCGGCCCCCAGGUGAGCCGGAAGGAACACCCGGGAGGACGGCUCCUCACUGGACCAGGCAGCCGACCAGGCGGGCCCCAGCGGACGAGGGGACUGAGAGCCCGGCCCGCACAGCGCACUCGGGAGACUCAGAAUUAACCCGAGUGCGCUUUUAAAGCUGCUUUCCUCCCCCCAAGCCAUCCACGCUGUUGGGCGAGGGGAGCCCACGCCCUACCCCGGCUCCCCUGGCCUUUCUGGCGGGAUCGUUCCUGGUCCAGCCCCGUGGGGCACCAGGCUGGCCGGCCAGCAUCCGCCGCUGCGGGCCCACGGGCUGAGACAGCCCGAGCAAGCGGCGUGGAGGAUGCAUGCCGCUGACACGGGCUCCUACUGCUCACAGGCGUUUCUCACCCUGGGGGCGGCAGUGGGGACAGAAGAGAUCUUGGGCCAAGCGAAAGACCCGAUGCCAGGAGACACCCCCGGCCGCCCGGCCGCCACUGCAGUCACCUUGCAGCGCCUUGAAGCCCUGGAGGGGGACCCGCGUGGAGCCCGUCACGAACUGCAGCAGCCGGGCCCGCCGCUCCUCGUCGAAGGUCUCCACCGCCUGCCAGAACCACCGGACCACAUUGCUGUCGGCCCCGCAGUGCUUCAGCCGCGUGUUGGACUUCCAGUCGUCCAGGUCGAUCUUGUCCAGGCCACCGAUGAUCAGCUGCGGGGCAUGAAGGUGGGUCACUUCCUGGACACGCAACGCGACGCGCCGCCCAGGCUCCCAGGCCGUGGAGAGACCGACCAACCACGCCCCAGUCAACCAGGCAAUGUUCAGACAAGGGGACACCCCCCCCAACACACACAGCCAGCCUGAGGCCCCCGUCUGUCUCUGCACUUCCAGGGCGUAGGGUGGCUGCGGACGUGACGUUUCCCCACAACUGAAUGCGUGCGUGUGCGUGGGCAUGCACGGAGGAGCCAGGCCCCAGGGCCAGCGGGGCCGCCUCCCAGGACCUCUUGGGGACACGUGGGGUGUAAAGUGUGACUCCCCCACCCCGGGGGGGCACGCGCACUCUGGCACCACACCAGGGCAGAAGGUUGGGGGUACUGUGAAAGGCCCGAGCUACGUGGUGCCGGGGUGGACAAGAUGUGAGUGGAAGAUGGAUGAGAAAGGACAGUAACACUCCAUCUUGGGCCUGAUAACAGCCGGAAUCAAAGUCGAGCAGCUGGCUAGCAUGGGAGCAGCUGGCUAUGGUCACAUCCUCGGUGUAAGGUGACCCCUCGGGAGGAGGCACUGGGGGAGCUCUACGCUGGAGGUCUCUAAGUCAGGGGGAGCCUGAUGGAUGAGCUGGACUCCGGGCCUCGUCGUCCCUGCUCAGGGCUCCCCGACGCCCCUGUCCCCCCACCCUGUCUUUGCUCCUGCAGCCAGCCCAGGAGGCAGCCCACCCCGCACACAGCAGCCCCUCGCACCCCAGCCCCGCACGGCCCACCUCCAGCUCCUUCUGGUCAAAAGGCUUCAGCAAGUGCUGAGGGAUGAGCUCGUUGAACCCCUUCUGGAGAGCCAGGAACUGGGCCUCGAUGCCCCUCAUGAACCUCCAGUUCACAUACAGCCUGAGAGGGAAAGGCACACGUUGGAAGCAGCAGCACUCCGCUCAUGAACAUCUUUCCUCGGUCAGCCCUCCACUCAGAGCUCCCACUGCUGACACCACCGCUUUCUGGAAGUCUCUGCUGUGAUUCUGGUCCAAGUGCAGGCAGGGACGGGAGGCUCACGCAGCAGAGGAGCCUCGACCAUCUCACCGUGACCGCUGCCCACCGUCCCAGGAUUCCCCAGAACCCUACCUACCGGACAUAUUCCUUCUUAUUCUCCUCUGUGACGGGGACAUUCCUGCCGUUGGGUUUCAGUUCGUGCUGAAGAAUCCGCCCAAAAGCGUUGUGCUCUACACAGAACGUGUGGUCGAGCACGGGGGUGAUGUCGUUCUCUCUGGGGAGGGAGCACAGAGGCGGAGGUCAGGGCGGCCUCAGCCGCCAUGAGGCGGCGGUCCUGCGGGCAGAGGCCCGGCUCCCCCCUCAAGAGGAGGGUGACGGGAGCGACACUGCUGGGGCUUCAGGAGACACGGCGCCUGGGUCUCUGAGCAGACGGGAGGGAGCAUGAUGGGGAAGCGGAGUCAAGGGGCAGAAGAUGUCACUGCACUGCCUCCAGGCAGCCUUUCCCAGGGCUUCAGAAGCCCUUGAAAGUUAGAACUGGCUCCUUUGUCCACCAUGUUUCUGGAAACACAGCUGGGGCACAUGGAAGGAGGCGGAUGGAAUGCAGGACACAGUUGAGAGCUGGACCUCCCCUUCCUGUGAAAUCAGCCCAUUCACGAGGACCCCCGACACCCACAGUGAUUGCGUAGCUUUUUGUGCCUUUUUUGGGCCUGUUGCUUUUAAGAGUUUUAGGAUAAUCCUAUAACAAAGGCGACUGAAUAUCUGGACUUUUUUUUAUAUCCUUCCGGUCCCUCUAGGGGCUUCCCUGGUGGCUCAGCUGGUGAAGAAUCCGCCUGCAAUGUGGGAGACCCAGGUUCGAUCCCUGGGUUGGGAAGAUCCCCUAGAGAAGGAAAAGGCUACCCACUCCAGUAUUCUGGCCUGGAGAACUCCAUGGACUGUAUAGUCCAUGGGGUCGCAAAGAGUCGGAUAUGACUGACCGACUCAGUUCACUUCACUUGGUCCCUCUAGAGAUCAGGAGACACCUCAGAGUGUUAAAAAAACAAACCAGCAGGCCUGGGGAUUAACAGCCACAAUCGUAACCUAAUAAUUCAAGGAAACAACAAAAGAAACUAGUCCAUGAAGAGAAGCUGCUCAGACAGUAUAUGAAAUAGUAAGUCAAUUAAAUAUCUUUGUCAGAUCGA